UGGGACUGGCAGACGUGAGACAGACACCAAACACUUCACUUCCUCUUUUCUCUGGGACCUUUGACCCAUUGGGCCCUUCGUGAGGUGGGGCCUUAGCCAGGCAUCAGGGAUUCAGGACUGGAUAGCAAGCAGUUUCUGCUGAUGAGAAAACUGAGGUCCAGGGAAGUUGGGCUUUGCUCAAGGUCAAGCAGCUAAAGAGCACCAGAGAACGCGCCUACUACCGCAGCCAGCGGCCCAGCCUCGAGGAGGAGCCGGAGGAGGAGCCAGGCGAGGGCGGGAC